CCUACGGGUGGCUGCAGUGGGGAAUAUUGCACAAUGGGCGCAAGCCUGAUGCAGCCAUGCCGCGUGUGUGAAGAAGGCCUUCGGGUUGUAAAGCACUUUCAGCGGGGAGGAAGGCGUUAAGGUUAAUAACCUUGGCGAUUGACGUUACCCGCAGAAGAAGCACCGGCUAACUCCGUGCCAGCAGCCGCGGUAAUACGGAGGGUGCAAGCGUUAAUCGGAAUUACUGGGCGUAAAGCGCACGCAGGCGGUCUGUCAAGUCGGAUGUGAAAUCCCCGGGCCCAACCUGGGAACUGCAUUCGAAACUGGCAGGCUAGAGGCUUGUAGAGGGGGGUAGAAUUCUAGGUGUAGCGGUGAAAUGCGUAGAGAUCUGGAGGAAUACCGGUGGCGAAGGCGGCCCCCUGGACAAAGACUGACGCUCAGGUGCGAAAGCGUGGGGAGCAAACAGGAUUAGAUACCCUUGUAGUC
rnacentral:rRNA from 1 species